AGGCCGGAGGAAGACAGUGAAAGUGAUGAACCGAUAACUACUUUCGAAGGGACAACUUCAAUUCAGGAGGAAGAACAGACCAAGCCGCCAGCGUCGUUAAACGUGAUAAAUGACACAGUACCCUUAAGAGGGGCUGUCCCGUGCAACCAGAGAUCGGACUGCGACGAUGUCCUGGUCUGCCUGCCGUCUAAAAUGUGUGGCUGCCCGGAACUCACGCCCGUGCUUUUGCAGGAAGUGGAUGGUAUCGUCUGUGCCUCGGCCCGACGGCUGAGCGAAUCAUGCCUGAGUGACGCCGAGUGCAUGCACGGAAACAAGCACGCACGAUGCUUGAACUCCGCGUGCAGCUGCCAGUCGCGCUUCUACGUCUCCAAGGACGGAUCCCUCUGUUUGCCCGAAUCCCUCGUAUGGAGUCCGUUGCGAACAGCAGUAGUACCAGCCGUACUGCUAAUACUCGGGUUUAUUGUCCUUGGAGUACUUGGUUACCAAAGGUGGGCU